GCUGGUGUGGCUCAGUGGUUGAGCGUCAUCCCAUUCACCCAGAGGUCCCGGGUUCGAUUCCCGGUUAAAGCA
rfam:Myotis lucifugus cont2.63271, whole genome shotgun sequence.